rnacentral:sRNA from 1 species
AAGAAAGAAGAUUCUG